AUUAGUAAGUGUGCCAAAACAAAACAUUUUUCUCUUUCUAAAAAAUCAAACAAAACACUUAUUGAAACUUUAUCUUUCUGUUUCUUUCUCAGGUAACCAAAACCCAUUUCUCAUAUUAAAAGCAAUUGUAAUCUGUAGUUUUAGUGAAUCCAACAAAGCAUGGAAUAGUGGAAAUUUGGGAUGUCAAAAAGCUCAAAUGUUAUGUAAUAGAUAUUGAAGAAAUAUGUAUGUUUUGUUUGAAGCUCAAAGAUCAAAGGCACAGUUCUCAGUUAUUGAAGAAAUCUAUACAGUUGAGCAAGUUUAGUGAGGCCUUCGAUGAAUGGGUUAUCAAUUUCUCAGUUCUAGUCAGUUGAUUUGAGUUCUUAGCUACGUAAAUAGCAUCUGGGAGUAUUGCAGAUAAUUAAUUUUUGAAGGGUCUGUGAAGAAAGUGUUAAUCAAGAGGACAAAUUGAUUUUUGAAGCGUCUGUGAUAAAAAAAAUUGAAUUUUGGGGGUGAAUUUGGUGAGGAGAAGAAAAUCGGAAAUCGAUUGAAGAAGAAGCUCGUUAAGGAAGGUGAAGGUUUGGAAACCCCUGAAGCUGGUGAUGAAGUUUAUUAAAGG